rnacentral:lncRNA from 1 species
ACCCUAAUGAAAAUAAAAAGUUUGCUUGAGACCCUGCACCUCUUCCAUUACGAAUUAAGCACUAGUCUGCAGCACCAGCACGAAAGCUGGGUGCGCUGAGAAUCAGGCACUAGAGUUGCAGCAUCAGCUGCUUCGGCUACUAAAAUGUCUCCUCCAGUUUACUGCAGGUGAAGGGAAUGUGCCCCCGGUUUACUCGUCCGCAUAGGGUCAUGUUAGUCCCAUUGAACAUUUUACUGAACAGGAUCACAAGAAAAAAUCCUCCUUUCCCAAUUGUAGGAGCCAUUCAAUGAACAAAGGACAAGGCUAAGGGCACACUGAUCUCCCCGCAUGCAGCAGGCGAGAUGGCAUUCAUUGGUUUGUUUCUGAACAGCAGUAAUCGCAGGCCAUGCAAUCCUUUGGAGGAAGGACUACAUCUCCCAGCAGGGCAUUGCACAACGCAGUUUCUUACUCCCCAUCCCCCCUCCCUUUUCCCAGCCAGCUUUUGUCUCUCCGACUUCUAUUUCGCUCCCUCCCCCUAUAGCUUCUACUACAGCACUGAAGCAGCCUUUCCCUGAGUCCGCAGAGCAGGCCAGAGGAGACAAGGGGACGGAAGCAGAAUAGUAAGACCCAGAGAUCUGGAUUUCAUUAUCUGUCAAGUGACAGCCGAGUAGCCACGCUUUCCUCUGGUUAAUGCUAAAGGGAAGAGAAAUAUGCUUGCAGCGGUGUUUCCUCGGGUAUUUAGAUGCCUCAAGAAAGAUGUGGAGAAAUUGGAGAGGGUCCAGAGAAGAGCAACAAGAAUGAUCAAAGGUCUUGAGAACAUGACCUAUGAAGGAAGGCUGAAAGAACUGGGUUUGUUUAGUUUGGAGAAGAGAAGACUGAGAGGGGACAUGAUAGCACUUUUCAGGUAUCUAAAAGGGUGUCAUAAGGAGGAGGGAGAAAACUUGUUCACCUUAGCCUCUAAGGAUAGAACAAGACGCAAUGGGCUUAAACUGCAGCAAGGGAGGUUUAGGUUGGACAUUAGGAAAAAGUUCCUAACUGUCAGGGUGGUUAAACAUUGGAAUAAAUUGCCUAGGGAGGUUGUGGAAUCUCCAUCUCUGGAGAUAUUUAUGAGUAGGUUAGAUAAAUGUCUAUCAGGGAUGGUCUAGACAGUAUUUGGUCCUGCCAUGAGGGCAGGGGACUGGACUUGAUGACCUCUCGUGGUCCCUUCCAGUCCUAGAGUCUAUGAAUCUAUGCCUGCAUUUUUCUAGGAGGACAAUGCCUGAUUUCCUUG